CAGAUUGAACGCUGGCGGCAGGCCUAACACAUGCAAGUCGAACGCACUCUUCGGAGUGAGUGGCGCACGGGUGAGUAACGCGUGGGAACCUGCCCUGGGGUUGGGAAUAACCGCUGGAAACGGCGGCUAAUACCCGAUACGCCUUUCGAGGGAAAGAUUUAUCGCCCCGGGAUGGGCCCGCGUCCGAUUAGCUUGUUGGUGGGGUAAUGGCCCACCAAGGCAUCGAUCGGUAGCUGGUCUGAGAGGAUGAUCAGCCACACUGGGACUGAGACACGGCCCAGACUCCUACGG
rnacentral:rRNA from 1 species